rnacentral:rRNA from 1 species
ACGGAAAGAUUAACUGUAUUUAGAAAGUAAUAGUGUAAUAUGUUGGGUUAAUAGAAAUAACUUUAUUUAUAAUAGUGUUAUGAGUACCGGGAGGGAAAUAAUUAUGUGAGUGUUAUUGAGUUUGUACCGUGAGGGGUCAUUUGAAAUAUUAGAAAAUUUAUGUGUAGUAAAGUAGAUUUUUUUGAUUGUACCUUGUGUAUCAGGGUUAACUAAAAUUUAUUUAAUUAGUUAAAUAUCCCGAUUUAAAGAGAGUUAAGCAAUUUUGUUGGUUACUGUGGCAUUAUUAUCAAGAAGAGUUGUUUAGGAAUGAAACGUUAUUCGUUCUUUAAGAUAUCUGGUUUUUUAAGAAAUGAAUUUAAUUCAGCUGUUUGAUAGUUUUUAUUUAAUUUUAUUAAAGUAGAAGUGUUAUUAAAGAGUAAUUACUUGGGGGAUAAGCUCUGAGUAAUUUAUUAUAAUUUAAGAUAUUAAUAAUUGAGCUAGGCUUGAAAGUAGCUAUGCAUAGGAAAAGUGUUAUAACUUAUUUUAUUAGGUAUAUUAUUUUGGUUAAAUUUAAUUUUUAUAUUAAAAUAUGAUUAUGAAUAUAGAAUAGUCAGUGAUAAUGGUUAAAUUAGUAUAAGUAUGUGGAGGUUUGAUAUAAAAUAGAUAAGUAAAGGCUAUUUUAAGGAACUCGGCAAAUAGAUGCUCGCCUGUUUAUCAAAAACAUGUCCUCUUGGUUAAGAAAUAAUUUGAGGUCUAACCUGCCCACUGAAAUAAUUUGAAGGGCCGCGGUAUUUUGACCGUGCUAAGGUAGCAUAAUCAUUAGUCUUUUAAUUGAAGGCUGGAAUGAAUGGUUGGACGAGGCAUUGACUGUCUCAAUGUAGAUGAUUUUAGAAUUUAACGUUUGAGUCAAAAGGCUUAAAUAAUUUUAGAGGACGAGAAGACCCUAUAGAUCUUUAUAUUAAUAUCUUAUGAAUUAUUAGGUUGUACUUAAUUAUUAGGGUGAUUAAUAUUUUAUUGGGGUGAUAGGAAGAUACAAGAAACUCUUUUUAAUUAUUAAACAUUGAUUUUUGGAUAAUUUGAUCCGUUUAUAGCGAUUAUAAGACUAAGUUACCUUAGGGAUAACAGCGUAAUCUUUUUUGAGAGUUCUUAUCGACAAGAAGGGUUGCGACCUCGAUGUUGGAUUAAGGUUAAAUUUGGGUGUAGAUGUUCAAAUUAUUGGGUCUGUUCGACCCUUAAAUCCUUACAUGAUCUGAGUUCAGACCGGCGUAAGCCAGGUCGGCUUCUAUCCUUAAAUAAGAGAAAAAUGUUUUAGUACGAAAGGACCGGGCAUUUGAAUUAAAAUUUUAAAGAAAGAUUAAUUUUAAGGGAGAG